CUCCUAGUGGUGAUAUAACACUAAAGAUCAGGAGUGGGAAAUAGGUUGGCACAAUCUGGAGAAAUUAAGAGAAGCAAGAUUUGGAGAGAAUCUUGGAGAAAGUUACAGACACACACAAUGGCUUAGAACAGAAAGUACACAAUACAUACGAAAACAGGUUAAGUCUCACCAAGGUCGUGACCUUAUAGCAGCCUUAAAAAUGCAAAAUACCCUCCAGUUUGAAUGAAUGCUCCCCUUUCCUCAGACCUAAAGCCCCAUUCCCUUAUUCACAAGCAUCACAAAUUUAAAUAUCACAUACACCUUACAAAAUGAGCUGAUGUUUCUGCAAGACAAACUUCUAUUUCCAUAAAUGUGGGUUACUUUGAGAAACUCAGUUUCAUGUAGGUAUGUUAGUUUGAGGAUUUUUCUGUGUCAUUUCAACUACUGAAGUCUCCUAAAGACUUCAACUAUUAAAGUUAAGCAGUUGUGCCAUUUUUCAUAGUUCCCUUGCUAUUUUUUUGUUAAGUGGAGUCAUUGUUCCUCUGGUACUAAUUUCGCAUCACACAAUUUGUUGCUCUAGAAAUAGCAAAACGAGAAAUAGAUUACUGUGAUUAUAAAUAUGAAGCAGUAGGUGGAAACUGAAGCUGUUUCUGGCAUUUCUCACCAAAACGGCCAUGGCCUCCAGAUCUGUCUCUCUGUAAGAGGGCAGCACCCCUGAAGACACAGUGCCACGUCAAGGAUGUGUGUGAGCUCCUCUGCCUGCACAGGCUUUGCGAAAGGUUUCCGUUUCAGAAAUACAAUGCCCUGAUUUUAGUGUGGGCAUUUCCCAUGUUAGUUAAGUGAUACUAAAUCUUUAAUAAUUAUAGCUGGAAAAUGUUUUUUGGAAAGCUUUUUUAUCUUCUUUCACACUAAGGCUAAUUUUUAAAUACAGCUAAAUAAGGACUUAGGCCAAUCCCUGAACCAAAAAGCAAGGUAUGAACCUUAAUUUACUGAACCACAAACCUAACCUCAUUUUUUAAAA
rnacentral:lncRNA from 1 species